rnacentral:rRNA from 1 species
AGAGCGAACGCUGGCGGCAGGCUUAACACAUGCAAGUCGAGCGGGCGUAGCAAUACGUCAGCGGCAGACGGGUGAGUAACGCGUGGGAACGUACCUUUGGUUCGGAACAACACAGGGAAACUUGUGCUAAUACCGGAUAAGCCCUUACGGGGAAAGAUUUAUCGCCAAAAGAUCGGCCCGCGUCUGAUUAGCUAGUUGGUGAGGUAACGGCUCACCAAGGCGACGAUCAGUAGCUGGUCUGAGAGGAUGAUCAGCCACAUUGGGACUGAGACACGGCCCAAAACUCCUACGGGAGGCAGCAGUGGGGAAUAUUGGACAAUGGGCGCAAGCCUGAUCCAGCCAUGCCGCGUGAGUGAUGAAGGCCCUAGGGUUGUAAAGCUCUUUUGUGCGGGAAGAUAAUGACGGUACCGCAAGAAUAAGCCCCGGCUAACUUCGCGCCAGCAGCCGC